rnacentral:rRNA from 1 species
CGAUUGACGUAGGUCAUCCUCGGCACUGGUGGCUCGGAGGCGAGAGAGAGAGAGAACCGGGAGCGAGUGAAUAUGAUAUAGAGAUCCCUUUGGAUCGAUUCUGCGAGGGAGGAGAGGAGAGCGUUAUUGUUCUGCCUCCUCUCGUUUCGAGAAGAAGGGUUCAUUCAUUCUAUCACUAGUCCCUCCCUCCCUCCCGUACGGUACACGAACCGGAAGGUUCAAUUUCCUCGAUCGAGAAAUCUGGUCCACUUAUUCUGGUUUAAUGCAGAGUAGAUUUACUCAAGAUCCAUGAGGGAUGUUUAUAGUUCUAAUUUGGAUUGUUGUAACUGGCCUCGUGACGGCGGGCUCUAGGCGGCGCCCGUCCGGGGUCCGGCGGCGGACCAGCGAGCGGCACGGACGUCCAGUGCGGCGUCCCUCCGGGGUUCGGUGGCAGGCCAGCGGUAACUGGGUAAACACGAGCAGCCGCAGGCGCCGCGGCAAUCCCGCGAGGUACGCCCCUCGCCGCUCCUCGUCUCCGACGCCUAAGGUGGGAGGUGGCUCGUCCACUGAGGAGCUCCGCACCGCCCUCCGCCCCGUCGAGGCCACCGCUUCCCGCGCCCCGCCCGCCGAGGUCGCCGCUGGGCAUCAGACCGCCGAGGUCGCCGCUGGGCACCGAGGUCGCCGCUUCCCGUCGCCACCGCCGAGGUCGCCGCUGGGCACCGAGGUCGCCGCUUCCCGUCGCCACCGCCGAGGUCGCUGCUGGGCGCCGACGGCGCCGCUCGCCGAGGUCCCCGCUUCCCGCCGUCCGCUGUGGGCGCCGGUUCCCGCCGCCGAGGUCGCCGCUCUCCAAAGGCGCCGACGUGGACGCCGCUUCACGCCGAGGCCGACGUGGACAACCGGUGCGACCGUGGACUUGAUACCCGGGCCGGACCGUCUUUGCACUAAUUGGCGUCACUUCGCCCGCCAAGGUGCUGAACCAUCAAAAAACGGUGACUAAUCCAUUUUUCACCAUCAAAAGGUGUGUUUUAGCAUUUCACCAUCAAAGACCGGUGCAAAGGUACUUUACACCAUCAAAAACCAAUUUAUGAGGUAGGAACUCCUUCUAAUAGGUCUAAGCGUUAGACAUCGUUGUAUAAACUGUGCAACCUCAAAGCCAUUUGUCAACUCAACCUACCGAAGUUUAAGGGGUAUCAGCUACACCUCGCGUUGUUCAACUCGUACAACAUGAACUUCGUGCCUCGUCUGGGGACGCAGUGUUACCCACUCUGCGUCUCUAAGGUUCGCGAACGUCCACAACUCGUACAACACCUACAGGUCAACUGGUUUGGAGUUUAACGCGUCGGUGUCCACGCACUCUUGUCGUUUGUGUUCACUCGUUAGUGGUUUGAUUCAUAACUUGGCAAACCGUUUCCUCUCCUCUAGUACAACUCACGGAGAGGUUGAUCAGAAGAGGCACUCCUGCUGUUUGAGUCGCUACAGCUCGAAGAAGACCCAGCGGUACCACGCCCGCUGCUGAACCGACUACCUCUCUGUGAGUAGUACGGAGUUUGUCGAACGCCUACCCCUAGAGCCCAAAGGAACGUGGUUCAUAGCACAGGCACUAUCGUCGGUGUUGUUACAACAUCACUUUUUAUGCUAAUUUCCACAGCUGUAGCCCGAACUCAUUGGUUAUAGAUAUAGUUCAUCGCUGUAGUACCCCCCUUCGAACUCGUAGGACAAUCUGUCCUACGUCCGAGAGUUCCGUAGAUCACAAAGUUGGGAGAGGUUAUACAACUCAUCUUCCACUAGGCCGUCGAACGAUUCUGACAGUUGAAAGACGUAGUAGUAGUGUAAUAUAUUGGAUCCUUUCUUUUUUACUCGGAGGGACCACCUGUACUUGUUUAAUUCCUCCUCUUUUGUACUUUCUUUCCUUUUUCCACGAAUGUAAUAAUAACAAAAGGUACAGGCGUUUCAGAUCGAUAAACGGAAUAGCGCAAAAAGUCUUUUCAGGAACACAAAAAAACUAUAAGUUUGGCGUCAGGGAAAAAUUCACCUAUAGCUUUUUUGCAAAGCGAGAAUGCUUUUCUUCGGACGUAAAAAGUCGUAAGUUGGGCGUUAAGAAAAAUCACCUGUCCACCCGCUCGCCCUUCCUGGCCCCGCAGCGGGUGCUGCGUCUGCUCUGGCCGCCGCCGAAUACCACCGCGCCAGCUACUCCUGGACGACCUAGAGCGGCCUAGACCACCCUACCGCGCGUCUAGAGAGAGGCUAGGAAAGGGUCUAGAAGAGGACGAUGGAUCCCAAGGGGUGGCGUCCGCGUGGAGCCGUCGGUAGCUCCGCUGGUGACGGCGGACGUCCGCCUUGCUCCGCCUCCUCUUGGAGGACCAUGCUGCACUCCUCCUCUGCAUGCCUACUUGAAUUUCUAGUCCUCUCUGUAUGACCGGCCCUGUUAGAAAUUUGGUACUUCGAUGUGUUAGAUAACUUAGCCGGUUAUCCACCUAUAGUAUUAAUCUUAGUCCCGUAAAGAUACUUUCAGAUAUAUAGUGUCAAUUGAUGUCCCUCUUUUGUUUACUCUGUAAGGGUAAGUGUUCACAAAUACGACUUGGGUCUGAAAAGUCUGGUAGUCUGGUUGGUCAACGUUAGUGCUUGCUCGUCGUUUACAAACGUGACUUGAUGACCCCAUUCCGUCACUUUAUGAAAAACGAGCGCCCCCACUUUCAAACCUUGUCUCUUUCUUGUCUGUUGUUUCACAUACGUGAUGUGUAUACGAUGAUGAAUCUAGGAAUAAAGAACAGAACGUUACUUCCUCAUGUCCAGGAAGGUAUAUCCUGAAUGUUUGACUGACUUCUGGCUUAUAAAGAUGAUCGUCAAAUAAUGAGUAGAAACAUUAAAAUAACAGAGUAUUCGUAUCUGGUAAGUAUACGUAUUAACAGUCCAACGUGAAAAGAGUAGAAAAUUCAAGUAUCCCUUUAAACAUGUCUACUGUACAAAUACACUUACUGUGAUAAGAUUACCGUCUUACUCCUACCCCGUAAGCCACUAGGUCGUAGACAAGAUGGUAGUCCCGACUACCGUAAGAAACCGUUAUGAUUCGGCGAACUAUUUAGGUACCGUACUCUACCCGGAACCCAUAUUAGGUUCGUAGCUUGGACCCACUAGGCACCACUAUGUUAAAUUACUUUUGUACUUGGUACCGAACUACAACGAAAGUUGGUCAUGUUCCGAUACACCUCUUUCAUACAUCUAUGACUUUUCCUUAAGGACUGUGAUACAUUGAAACCAGAGAGUUCAUUAAUUUCUUUAAGAGGUUCUUAUUCCGGUGGUAGUUAUAUAAACAAGAAAAUACCCGUUUUCUCAGAAGUACACUUAACAGAGAAAAAUCAACAACGUUUCAAAGAAUGGAAACACGACCAGUUGAUAAAAAUACAUCUUAAACUAUUAUAUAAAAAUCGAUUCCACGUUAGUAACAUCAUAUAUAUCAACUUCCCCUACAAUAUCUACUUGUAAACACAUGAUAAACAUCGUUUGUGUAGGAGUCAACAUAAUUACCUUUACCUUCUUUUUA